rnacentral:rRNA from 1 species
GAUGAACGCUGGCGGCGUGCCUAAUACAUGCAAGUCGAGCGAACGGACGAGAAGCUUGCUUCUCUGAUGUUAGCGGCGGACGGGUGAGUAACACGUGGAUAACCUACCUAUAAGACUGGGAUAACUUCGGGAAACCGUAGCUAAUACCGGAUAAUAUUUUGAACCGCAUGGUUCAAAAGUGAAAACGGUCUUGCUGUCACUUAUAGAUGGAUCCGCGCUGCAUUAGCUAGUUGGUAAGGUAACGGCUUACCAAGGCAACGAUGCAUAGCCGACCUGAGAGGGUGAUCGGCCACACUGGAACUGAGACACGGUCCAGACUCCUACGGGAGGCAGCAGUAGGGAAUCUUCCGCAAUGGGCGAAAGCCUGACGGAGCAACGCCGCGUGAGUGAUGAAGGUCUUCGGAUCGUAAAACUCUGUUAUUAGGGAAGAACAUAUGUGUAAGUAACUGUGCACAUCUUGACGGUACCUAAUCAGAAAGCCACGGCUAACUACGUG